rnacentral:rRNA from 1 species
GAGUUUGAUCCUGGCUCAGAACGAACGCUGGCGGCAGGCCUAACACAUGCAAGUCGAGCGCGCCUUUCGGGGUGAGCGGCGGACGGGUUAGUAACGCGUGGGAAUAUGCCCAAAGGUACGGAAUGGCCUCUGGAAACGGAGAGUAAUACCGUAUGUGCCCUUCGGGGGAAAGAUUUAUCGCCUUUGGAUUAGCCCGCGUUAGAUUAGGUAGUUGGUGGGGUAAUGGCCUACCAAGCCUACGAUCUAUAGCUGGUUUUAGAGGAUGAUCAGCAACACUGGGACUGAGACACGGCCCAGACUCCUACGGGAGGCAGCAGUGGGGAAUCUUGGACAAUGGGGGCAACCCUGAUCCAGCCAUGCCGCGUGAGUGAUGAAGGCCUUAGGGUCGUAAAGCUCUUUCGCCUGUGAAGAUAAUGACGGUAGCAGGUAAAGAAACCCCGGCUAACUCCGUGCCAGCAGCCGCGGUAAUACGGAGGGGGUUAGCGUUGUUCGGAAUUACUGGGCGUAAAGCGCACGUAGGCGGAUCGGAAAGUUGGGGGUGAAAUCCCGGGGCUCAACCCCGGAACUGCCUCCAAAACUAUCGGUCUAGGGUUCGAGAGAGGUGAGUGGAAUUCCGAGUGUAGAGGUGAAAUUCGUAGAUAUUCGGAGGAACACCAGUGGCGAAGGCGGCUCACUGGCUCGAUACUGACGCUGAGGUGCGAAAGUGUGGGGAGCAAACAGGAUUAGAUACCCUGGUAGUC